GCCUUUGCACCAGGUAGCAUGAUAAGCAUCGAGCUGUUUCCUAGUUGUGUUCCUUUGUGCCUCAGUCUUACAAUAUGGGCAUGCUCUCCUCCUGAGCUCUGCAAAGGGAAGGUCCUGAUCUCUUACUCUUUUUCCAUUGUGCCACACCAUCCUGACUCCUUCAGUGCCUGCUCCUGCAUAUGGCAGAGGGGAUCAAGCCAGUCUAACUUCUCAGGAUCUGCUUCUCAUGGGGCAGACCAGACCUCGCCAUUCAUGCUCUCACACAAAAUACCCCAAAGGAGAAAAGCGCAAGGAAACUCCCAUAAUGCAUAGUGAGAAUCGUCAAAGAUGAAAGUCGAGGAUGGUGGAGAACUGUGGUCUGUGAUGUCCAUGUGCUGGACCUUUGUCAAGCAGCGGUGGCCUCUGUGUGGUCCACACCAAAGUUGCCUUGGCCAUACAUAGUGUCUUAUCCCAGCAAUGAAAAGUCAUCACCUUCCGACCCAGAUGCCCCCGGAGUGGAACAAGGUUGGAACCAACAGAAACUCACCUGAUUUAGAAGCUCAAGAAAAGCCUCUAUUCAAGAGUGCACAGAUUUGGGGUAGAUCCCAGUGGACGAGGGGGAGGGAAACACAGGAGUCACAAGUCCUCCAGUGUGCCUGACCACCUGACCAAGCGGCAGUGACUGACACCAUUACGCUCACUUCCUUCCCCCCCUUUGCAUUUUCUGGCUGGAGAUGAGAUGGAAGACAGACUUCGUAAUUCCUAAAA